AGAGUUUGAUCCUGGCUCAGGAUGAACGCUAGCGACAGGCUUAACACAUGCAAGUCGAGGGGCAGCAGGGGAGUAGCAAUACUCCCGCUGGCGACCGGCGCACGGGUGAGUAACACGUAUGCAACCUGCCCUUGUCAGGGGGAUAAGCGGAAGAAAUUCCGUCUAAUACCGCAUAAUGCUGCGGGGAGACAUCUCCCUGCAGCCAAAGAUUUAUCGGACAAGGAUGGGCAUGCGGCGCAUUAGCUGGUUGGCGGGGUAACGGCCCACCAAGGCGACGAUGCGUAGGGGUUCUGAGAGGAAGGUCCCCCACACUGGUACUGAGACACGGACCAGACUCCUACGGGAGGCAGCAGUGAGGAAUAUUGGUCAAUGGCCGGGAGGCUGAACCAGCCAAGUCGCGUGAGGGAAGACGGUCCUAUGGAUUGUAAACCUCUUUUGUCAGGGAGCAAAAACUGCCACGCGUGGCAGGAUGAGAGUACCUGAAGAAAAAGCAUCGGCUAACUCCGUGCCAGCAGCCGCGGUAAUACGGAGGAUGCGAGCGUUAUCCGGAUUUAUUGGGUUUAAAGGGUGCGUAGGCGGACAGUUAAGUCAGCGGUAAAAUUGAGAGGCUCAACCUCUUCCCGCCGUUGAAACUGAUUGUCUUGAGUGGGCGAGAAGUAUGCGGAAUGCGUGGUGUAGCGGUGAAAUGCAUAGAUAUCACGCAGAACUCCGAUUGCGAAGGCAGCAUACCGGCGCCCAACUGACGCUGAAGCACGAAAGCGUGGGUAUCGAACAGGAUUAGAUACCCUGGUAGUCCACGCAGUAAACGAUGAAUACUAAUUGUUCGGGUCAAAUGAGAUCUGAGUGAUACAGCGAAAGCGUUAAGUAUUCCACCUGGGGAGUACGCCGGCAACGGUGAAACUCAAAGGAAUUGACGGGGGCCCGCACAAGCGGAGGAACAUUUGGUUUAAUUCGAUGAUACGCGAGGGACCUUACCCGGGCUCAAACGACACAGGAAUGAUCUGAGAAAUCAGGCAGUCCUCCGGGACCUGUGUCGAGGUGCUGCAUGGUUGUCGUCAGCUCGUGCCGUGAGGUGUCGGCUUAAGUGCCAUAACGAGCGCAACCCCCAUCGACAGUUGCCAGCAGGUGAAGCUGAGCACUCUGUCGAGACUGCCGGCGCAAGCUGUGAGGAAGGCGGGGAUGACGUCAAAUCAGCACGGCCCUUACGUCCGGGGCGACACACGUGUUACAAUGGCAGGUACAGCGGGAAGCCACCUGGCGACAGGGAGCGGAACCCGAAAGCCUGUCUCAGUUCGGAUUGGAGUCUGCAACUCGACUCCAUGAAGCUGGAUUCGCUAGUAAUCGCGCAUCAGCCACGGCGCGGUGAAUACGUUCCCGGGCCUUGUACUCACCGCCCGUCA
rnacentral:rRNA from 1 species